rnacentral:lncRNA from 1 species
CCAGGGAUUGAACUUGGGACCUUGUGCAUAUGAGGCAGGCGGUGGCACCACUGAGCAAAAUCCCCGGCCCAACAGUUUGAUAUUUUGAAAUCUGUAUGCAAUAUGUGAUGACCAAAUCAGGGGUCUGCAGCAGAACAGCUCAUUGACAUCAUCCUAUGAGAGGGGAUCAAGAUUCUCAAAGUGAGGGUAGUUUUUUGGACUCCCACUGUGGCCACUCUGUGGGGAAGACCACGUGGGAUGGCAAAGGUGAACACGAGGAAGACGGGCUUUGUGGUUGUCAGUGGCAAGGGUUGACGAGAAAGAGCAACGGAGUGCUGUCUUCUACUGAGACGAGGAAGAGCGAAGGAAGAGCAAGCUGUGGUGGGUCCCAGGACUCCUACAUAACUGUGACUGUGUGUCGGGGAAUGACUUAUAUCCUUGUAACACUUGACAUUCUGCAAAAAGAGUUUCGUGUCAGUCUUAUGAGCUGGGUGGAGUGGAUGCUAUUUGUUUCCAUUUUGUGAAUAAAAAACCCCAAGGCUCAGAAAGAGCAAGGCAGUGUAAUAGAUAUGGCUAUUUUGAAACUCGCAUAAGCACAAAAGAAAAUAAAUUGGCUCUUGUGAAGGGGGGCAUCUAAG